rnacentral:tRNA from 1 species
GGCUCUGUGGCGCAAUGGACAGCGCAUUGGACUUCUAAGCAAACACUUCAGGAGUGAUUCAAAGGUUGUGGGUUCGAGUCCCACUAGAGUCA